rnacentral:rRNA from 1 species
UUUCAUAUACCAGAAAGACAACAAGACCCUGACGAACUUAAUAUAUUUAGCUGGGGCAGCUGUAAAACAAAACCUUAAUCAUAAUCAAAACUCACGACCCAAUCAUAUUGAUCUAAGAACAAGUUACCGCAGGGAUAACAGUAUAAUCGGGUUUAAGAGACCUUAUCUAAUACCCGCCAUUUAACCUCGAUGUUGAAUUAAUGUCCCUAUAUUUAGCAAGAUAAAUACAAGGGGGUCUGUUCGACCCAUAACACAUUACAUGAUUUGAGUUCAGACCGGCGCAAGCCAGGUCAGCUUAUAUCUUCUUACAAAAAAGUGCUAGUACGAAAGGACCUCACAAAAAAUUUCA